UGUAGCUGCUAAGAAGGUGCCUGCAGGGGAGGAAAAGCUGAAGAAGCAUGAGAAAGCUCUGGCAGGGAAGCCUGGGAGAUGCCCUGUGGAAGAAACUGUGAAAGUAGGGGAGAGACUAAAAGCCAAUUGGGAUGAAGACUGUUGCCAUCCUGCCCAUCAUGUCAGCUGAGCUUGAGCCAUUUAUUUCCCCACCUUUCUGGCACCAGGUGAUAACAAACUGCUCUCCGAAGGAUCAGAUACACACCAGCUCAAGUGCAGAGUAAAUAACUUAUCAGUUGAAGGCACUAUAAAGUAGUGAAGUCAUAUUUACAUGCUGGACUCAUGCCAGGCCCACAAGGGCCUAACACUUUUUGUGACUGGUCAACUCAAAAACCAUUUUCUUGUGUGCAGUGAAAAGAAGCUUUCUAAUCAUCUUCAACUCUGGGUUAGAUUAAGAGGGCAGAAACUGCACCAUGUAAGGGUCUAAAAGAUGAUAACUCUUCUGGACUACAGCAGAAACAAGUUGUUUGCUAAUCCCCAUUAAACAAUGUGCUCAUUUGUCAAAUAAUGUUCAGCUUCAAUUAUUUUUAAAUCA